UAAGAAUUCAUUAAAUUGCCAAGAUUGGCAUC
rnacentral:piRNA from 1 species